rnacentral:rRNA from 1 species
UAGGGAAUCUUCCACAAUGGACGCAAGUCUGAUGGAGCAACGCCGCGUGAGUGAAGGAGGUUUUCGGACCGUAAAGCUCUGUUGUUGGUGAAGAAGGAUAGAGGUAGUAACUGGCCUUUAUUUGACGGUAAUCAACCAGAAAGUCACGGCUAACUACGUGCCAGCAGCCGCGGUAAUACGUAGGUGGCAAGCGUUGUCCGGAUUUAUUGGGCGUAAAGCGAGCGCAGGCGGAAGAAUAAGUCUGAUGUGAAAGCCCUCGGCUUAACCGAGGAAUUGCAUCGGAAACUGUUUUCUUGAGUGCAGAAGAGGAGA